UUAAAUGUAUUUUUACUCAGCUUUUUAUUAUUAAAGUAAGAAAAAAGGGAAAUAUCAGAAAUGCUUCUUUUCAGCUCAGCAAGCUGGAGGGGCGUGGCGGUGUCUGUGUUUGAUUGACAGCAGCUGAAGAGGCGUGGCGGUGUCUGUGUUUGAUUGACAGCAGCUGGCAGUGCCUGUGUCACAUCGUACGAACGUAGACGGUGUAAACAAACUGCUGCAGCUACAAGUCAUGGACAGACAGCGUGACACAAGUCAAGUCAUCAGAAAUUCUGAUGAUCUAACCAAGUUUCCACGUUUAAAUCAAUUAACAGACAGUGGUCAUGAAAAGUUGAGUUUAACUUUCAACAUUAAUGAAAACUGUUGCAGCCUGCUUACAUCUUAUAAAUCUUACUGACAUUUGACAUUUUGUGGCAGUAAAUAAAGCCUAAGAGGCUCGUUAUUGAAUAACAAUGCAGAGCGAGGCUCUGAAAUGAUAAUAUAGCCCUUUAGCUCUAACGGGCUCUAAAGUGAAAACAGAAGUAUGACACAAAAACAUUACAUUACAAUGUUCAGCCUCCUGCUCUGCUUAUAUCAUUAUAUCAUCAUCAUUAUAUCAUCAGCAUCUGUCUGAGCUGCUUCUCAUUGAACUUUUAGCGACUUAAAAUAAAAAAAAAGUCCUGACAGCUCUGAUGGAUUUAUCCAUAAGGGCUGUUUAAUUACACGCUGUUUCACUGUUUACUGUACAUUGAUUACUGUGUAGCAGAACACAGAACAUUAAUCACCGUCCUGUUAAUGAAGUUACUGCUGUUGUGUCACUCGUCACAGAAAGAAUCUGACACACAGCAGCUGUGAGCAACAAACAGCAGCGGUACCGAUGUAUCCCGGAGACAUUCAGUCACACCUGAACAACAUUAUUAUAAGUUUCACACCUGCCUGAAUCACAUUAAUAGCUGUACUCUGAUGGACAUUUCAGUAGAUUAUGUUAUAGAUACGAGAUGCUAGAAGUAAAAGAAGCAAAUCAAAGUUGACUUGUGAUGUUGAUCUCUGCUCUCUCCGCUUUCUACACUUUUCAUUAUGAGCUGAUCUCUGUGCUGAACUGUGGAGGAAACUACCGGCUACUAAAGCUGCAGGGUGUGACACCCACCAGGCCGGAGGGGGGGCAACAUCUUUCUCUAGUAAGACUGGAGCCAUGAAGAUCAUCUCCCAACAUGUAAAGUGAGUGUAAUCCUCCCGCAGCCAGAAGAAGGUUUGUUUUGAUGUUGUGAUGUUCUGUUCACAGGUGUUAGGGUUACAUUUCACACCUGAAACGACAGGAUUGAAUAAAAUUAUUGUUUUUA